UACGUAGGGGGCAAGCGUUGUCCGGAUUUAUUGGGCGUAAAGAGCGUGUAGGCGGCCAGGUAGGUCUGCUGUGAAAACUCGAGGCUUAACCUCGAGAUGUCGGCGGAAACCAUCUGGCUAGAGUCCGGAAGAGGAGAGUGGAAUUCCCAGUGUAGAGGUGAAAUUCGUAGAUAUUGGGAAGAACACCGGUGGCGAAGGCGGCGACCUGGUCCGAUACUGACGCUGAGGCGCGAAAGCGUGGGGAACAAACAGG
rnacentral:rRNA from 1 species